rnacentral:rRNA from 1 species
UACGUAGGGUGCAAGCGUUGUCCGGAAUUAUUGGGCGUAAAGAGCUCGUAGGCGGUCUGUCGCGUCUGCUGUGAAAACUCAGGGCUUAACCCUGAGCUUGCAGUGGGUACGGGCAGACUAGAGUGCGGUAGGGGAGACUGGAAUUCCGUGGUGUAGCGGUGAAAUGCGCAGAUAUCAGGAGGGAACACCGGUGGCGAAGGCGGGUCUCUGGACAGUUCCUG